rnacentral:rRNA from 1 species
UACGUAGGGGUGCAAGCGUUAAUUCGGAAUUACUGGGGCGUAAAGAGUUCGUAGGCGGUUUGUCGCGUCGUUUGUGAAAAACCAGCAGCUCAACUGCUGGCUUGCAGGCGAUACGGGCAGACUUGAGUACUGGCAGGGGAGACUGGAAUUCCUGGUGUAGCGGUGAAAUGCGCAGAUAAUCAGGAGGAACACCGGUGGCGAAGGCGGGUCUCUGGGCAGUAACUGACGUGAGGAACGGAAAGCGUGGGUAGCGAACAGGA